GAAUGAGUCCCCAGUGGGGACUAUGACAAGGGCUGGACAAGCAUCAGACUCUUCAUUCUGAGCAGUCUCCUCCAUGGCUCUGAGGUUGUUUGGAAGAAUGAAGAAAAAAAUUAAUGGUGUCCUUCUGGAAUGUCCAGUUCCUGAAUUCCCAGCUUCUGUUGGUCAGAAAAAUGCUUACCAUGUCCUUGGCGCCCACUGGACAAGGAUCUGUCUUGAUUAUCUUUGGAGCCCCAACA